rnacentral:rRNA from 1 species
UUCCGGUUGAUCCUGCCAGCGAUCACCGCUAUUGGAAUCCGCUUAAGACAUGCGAGUCGAGAGGGUUUAGACCCUCGGCAUACUGCUCAGUAACACACGGAUGAUCUACCCUAAGGUGGGGCAUAACCUCGGGAAACUGAGGAUAAUACCCCAUGGGUCAUGGAUGCUGGAAUGCUUCAUGGCCCAAAGUUCCGGCGCCUUAGGAUGAGUCUGCGGUCUAUCAGGUUGUAGUGGGUGUAACGGACCCACUAGCCAACGACGGAUACGGGCGUUGGGAGACGUCGCCCGGAGUUGGAUUCUGAGACACGAAUCCAGGCCCUACGGGGCGCAGCAGUCGCGAAAACUUGUCAAUGGGGGAAACCCCGAACAGGGGAGUCCAAGUGCAUGCGUUUUACGUAUGCUGUUCAGUUGUCUAAAAAACAGCCGAAGUAAGGGCUGGGUAAGACAGGUGCCAGCCGCCGCGGUAAUACCUGCAGCCCAAGUGGUGAUCGAUAUUAUUGAGCCUAAAGCGUCCGUAGCCGGUUUGGUAAACCCUCGGGUAAAUCGAGCAGCUCAACUGUUCGAAUUCCGGGGGGACUGCCAGACUUGGGACCGGGAGAGGUCAGAGGUACUUCAGGGGUAGGGGCUAAAUCCUGUAAUCCUUGAAGGACCACCAGUGGCGAAGGCGUCUGACUAGAACGGAUCCGACGGUAAGGGACGAAACCCUGGGGCGCAAACCGGAUUAGAUACCCGGGUAGUCCAGGGCGUAAACGCUGCAGGCUUGGUGUUGGGGACCCUACGAGGGUGCUCAGUGCCGGAGUGAAGAUGUUAAGCCUGCCGCUUGGGGAGUACGUCCGCAAGGAUGAAACUGAAAGGAAUUGGCGGG